ACUAUUUUUCUUAUUGUUGGUUAGCCUUGGUGAUGUUGUUCCUUGGGAACAGAUAAAGCCAUCAAAGAAUAUCUUGUAUGAAACAUGUAAGCCUGAGAAAUGGUUCAAGUGCAAUGACUUUGAUGAGAAGAGUAUUAUUAGCUAUGAAGAUUCUAAAUUUAAAAAAAACGAUAGAGACAAGUAACAGACGUAGGUUUAGUUCGUUUACAAGUGGAUAUCUUCUAUCAAGAAACUCCAAAUGGUAUAUGAUUCUCCUUGUGAAGACAAUGGCUUCAGACGCGGAGAGAUUUUGUAGAAAUACGGUUAAAGAGCCCUCUGAUUGUAGCUUUCUAAGUCUCAUAUUUGGUUCCCAAGGUAUACUCAGAAACAGCUCGAAAAGUAAGUCACCUACAUAUGUCAUGGCUACUAUUCUCAGUUACAGUUCCGUAUCUUCCUUGUGUUGACAGCCUUCUGUGUCUCUGAGUCAAGUACUUCUUUACUAUCCUCUUGAUGGACGUCUCACCAUAAGUCCUGUAAACUCACUGUGAACUAUACUGAAGAAGGAGUUGUGUUUCUGGAAGCUGAAACAAACUGUAAAAUGGAUGAGAUUGGCGACAUCACGAAACCAGACCUUGAGACACUAGAGAAACUUGUCUAUGAUGUUGUAGACACCAAGAAUAUUCUUGAAGUCCCUCCCGUUACUGCUCAGGUUUACUACUUUUCUUCCCGCUCAAGCAAUCUUUUU